GGCGCCCCUAUUUUCCCUUCUCUCCAUUGCGCCCCGGGCCCUUUGUUUCCCGGCUACAAAGCGUGAGAGAGAGCGCGCUUUUUUUUGGUUUUUUCCUCUCUCCCAUGCCUUGGUUCCGUGGAUAAGAACGAGUCGAAGGGGCGGCGCCUUGUUUUAAUUUCGCAUCCUCUCUCAGAGCUCCCACCGCCUCUCGUUCUUCCUCUCACGCGUUCCCUCUCCCUCUCGCCGUCUCUCACCCGCAUGCUGUCCUUCUCUCUCUCUCUCUGACACACACAUACAUACUCGUACGCUCUCAGUUAAACCUAAGGGGCUCCACCAUAUCACCUCCCAUACCCCCGCCCUGCGACGGAAAACAGGGUCAGAGAGGUGAAACAGGGAGGGGAAAAAAAGGAAAGCAAGAGGAAACAAUUUUUUUUCAAAAAAGGGAUGGUGCUAAAAUGGUCCUUGACCAUAAUUCAAAUAAAUUGACCCGCUUGUGCGAGAUAUUUGAGGGUCAAGUCAGGCAUGGUUAGUGAGGAACCCUGAGAGGCAGGGGAAGGGCUUCAUUGGGUGGCAUUGGAAUUGUCUUGAACUUGCAAUCUACUGAGAAUACUUGGGCAGCAUUUUUGCGAUUGACCUAUCGAUGAGCUGCAGGAGGAUCCUUUCAAGCUCCUCACCAUUGCUCCAUUCAUGGAUUUCAGCCUUGAGCUGCUGAGGAUUGUCACAGAUGAGCUGCCACAGAGGGUAUUCCUUCCUCGGCAUCACAUAGUCUUCUUCACUUAGCCUGAGAGAAGGGCAGUAGUCUCCCUUCCCGUCACCCAAGUAGAUGAAUCGCUUCUUUCCCUCUACAGAGGCUUGUGCUUGGAUUCGCUCGAUGAUAUUACCCUGUAUUUGGCGAAAUCAAGGAUUGGAUUGAGAGCCAAAGUAAUAAGAGAAUCGAGACUCACGGAAGGGCUAUAGCAACCAUGGUUCCUAAAAAUCUUACUUUUAGCUGUGUGGGAAAUUUGUUAUUACAAUGUUUUAGAGGUCUACAUCAAUGCUUUGCCAUGUAUUUGGCUAAGAUAUAUUCUGUAUUCUUUGCUCAGGGAAGUGAUUAAAAUCUGUUUUGACCUCCAAAGUUCAAACCAAAUUGAUCUACUCUCUCUCUCUCUCUUUUCUGAAGCAUUAUGCAAAGGAGGAAAGACAAAAGUUACAACUUAAAUAAUAAGAAAAUUGUAAAUUUUUUGGAAACAUUGAUGAAGUUAUGGCUUGAAAAGGCACUAAAUUUACAUGGUUUAACCUCUAUCUUCAUGGUCAGAGAAUAUUUACCAUAAGCAACCAUUGGAUUCCACCUUGCAUCAUGCGAUGACACAAAACACCACAGUGAACAAAUAAUUAAA